ACGAGAAAUGCUCAAUGGCGACCAUGUCGACAAAAACUCAUCAACCCGAAUAGUAUAGUGUUGCGUCAAUGAAGAUAAUACUGCCUCUUUUUGGCACGCAGCAUCCAUUCAAUGAAAAACAGCAGUAGCAACAAUAACAACAACAAUUGGUGAACCCUACGCUACCAGCUGAAGGUUAUACGAAAGCGGACCGCUAUCACUGAAUUUGAUGGAAACAAGGUUAAAAAAAAAAAGAAGCGUGAAUAACAUCAACGAUGAGGAACGAAAGGUGUGAGUAAGUGAAGGGUGAGAAGCCAACGAGCUCGGCCGAAAAGCGCCAUCACGUUGACGAUUCAUUGUCUCGUACCUGAGUAAGUGAGCAAGGUUUAAUGAGUCGGGCCAGUGAACUCUCGAGAGGCACAAUAACGCCAGGAUUAGAAGCGUAGUCUGCAGGCGGCCGUUUCGUCAAGGAGAAUGAUUUUCGUCAAGGUUACGACCCUUCUGCCCAUUGGCGUGCUGCUUGCCACUUCGCACCCGGGUCACACCACGAGGACGUUUCUGCAUCUUCAGACCACACUGAUGUUGCGAUCAAAGCACGAAUCCGGAUUCAUGGCACUCCGAGACGACUUCACUUGCCAUCCAAAUGGACCGUGCGUCCUUAAAGCGCUUAUUCAACUGAAAUUCCAUUUUAACAAAACGUCGUCAGGUGAACUUCUCUAAAAUUGUAUUGAUCGAUAUAGACGCGAACGGAAGUCGACUUCUCGUCACAGUCGCAGAAAAAGGAACGACUGCUGUUAACUAGCUAAACUACGAUAAGAAAAUAGCCAUUGGCUGGUGUGUCGUUCUACAGGGCGAGCUAAAAUAUGUUUUGUCUAAAGAAUAGAAAGGAACUUACAUUCACUUUAGUUUUUCCUCCAUAGCGCUGUACGAGAAGUGGUCAUACAUUCAAGUCAACCUCUGCAACAUUAUCGCAUCUAUGACAAUAUAAUUUGAAAAAAAAAGUAUCACAUAAACGCCAAGUUUGGAUUUCGGAAUGAUGUUAUUGAGUAUUGUUUUUGUCUUAUAGUGAUAUGUAUAUACACACGAACGAUUACAUGAAAUGUCGCAAUGUGCCAGUCCCUAUCGAGUAUAAUGUUGAUGCCGGCUCAAGCACAAACUCUACCUUAUGGAGAACUUCCUGUGCUUCCUGUCUAUGGACGUUUAGCAUUAGGUGAAUUAUCGUUUAUGUCUUAUCUAGUGUAUCUAGAUGGAUUCAUGUAAAUCCAUCUACAGGUAGCAACAAACCAUUAUCACGUCAGCGGUCCUUUAAGGCCUUAUUCCUUCAACUUCCGUUUGUAUAGACAAAGAAUGGAAUCAUUCAAUUAUAUUUACAUUGAAGCUAAUAGAAUUAUAAUGAUGAUAUGGCGCUUUGUCCGUACCUACCACAUUCGCUCGUCAAAGAAAACAAUAAAACUAAUGUAGUAUAGUCCUGUUCUAACAUCCAAACAUAGAAAUGGGUCAGACUUAAACAGGGCAGAGCCAACAUUACUGUCCAAGUUAUCUAAUAGGAGCACGGGGAUUGUUGCAAACGGCGCUAUUUUCUUAGUUGUAUCGUUCUGGGGUUGUCUCGGACUCGCGACCACUACAGAAGCUAUAUAUAACAGCUGAGUACUAAUAUGCCAACACUAAUGAAAUUCAUAAUCCAACCAAU
rnacentral:lncRNA from 1 species